UACGUAGGAGGCAAGCGUUGUCCGGAAUUACUGGGCGUAAAGCGCGUGUAGGUGGUGGGACAAGUCUGCUGUGAAAGCGCCUGGCUUAACCGGGCGAGGUCGGCGGAAACUGUCCGACUCGAGGACGGUAGAGGGGGGUGGAAUUCCCGGUGUAGUGGUGAAAUGCGUAGAGAUCGGGAGGAACACCUGUGGCGAAGGCGGCCCCCUGGGCCGGCCCCUGACACUGAGACGCGAAGGCGUGGGGAGCGAACGGGG
rnacentral:rRNA from 1 species